rnacentral:rRNA from 1 species
AUUGAACGCUGGCGGCAGGCCUAACACAUGCAAGUCGAGCGAGCGGCGGACGGGUGAGUAAUGUAUGGGGACUGCCCGAUAGAGGGGGAUACCUACUGGAAACGGUGGCUAAUACCGCAUACUAUUGGCUAACCCAUAUGGGAUUAGCUAGUAGGUGGGGUAAAGGCUCACCUAGGCGACGAUCACUAGCUGGUCUGAGAGGAUGAGCAGCCAAACUGGGAAUGAGACACGGCCCAGACUCCGACGGAGGCAGCAGUAGGGAAUAUUGCACAAUGGGCGCAAGCCUGAUGCAGCCAUGCCGCGUGUAUGAAGAAGGCCUUAGGGUUGUAAAGUACUGUCAGCGGGGAGGCGUUACCCACAGAAGAAGCACCGGCUAACUCCGUGCCAGCAGCCGCGGUAAGUC